AUGCUGUCUUUGGCAGCAUAUAUAUUAAGUUGGAAUGAUACAAAGAAAAUUAGAUUAACACAGUCCUUGCAAGGAUGACACACAAAUUCAUGAAACAUUCCACAUUAAA
rnacentral:snRNA from 1 species